rnacentral:lncRNA from 1 species
UAUGAGGACUUGCCAAUUUUGGUCUUUUAUUGAUUUUGAUGGUUCACAUUUUCAUUUUUGUAUUUUAAAUUUGAUUAAAGACAAAAUCUACCUACAAUAUAAUAUUUAUUGUUGGUGCUGUUUCCACCACAAAAUAUGAUUUGUGGACAUCAAAAGUUUGGAGGCACUUAUACGAAUAGUUAUGUACGUUUUCACCUAAAUAUCUAUAUGAGUGGGAAUAAAUCACAUUAGCGGAUCAACGGUUUGAAUUAACUUAUUUUUGAGUUUAUAUAAAAUAAUUUAUGCAAAAAAAC